rnacentral:rRNA from 1 species
GACGAACGCUGGCGGCGUGCUUAACACAUGCAAGUCGAACGGUAAGGCCCUUCGGGGUACACGAGUGGCGAACGGGUGAGUAACACGUGGGUGAUCUGCCCUGCACUUCGGGAUAAGCCUGGGAAACUGGGUCUAAUACCGGAUAGGACCACUGCCUGCAUGGGUGGUGGUGGAAAGCUUUUGCGGUGUGGGAUGGGCCGGCGGCCUCUCAGCUUGUUGGUGGGGUGAUGGCCUACCAAGGCGACGACGGGUAGCCGGCCUGAGAGGGUGACCGGCCACACUGGGACUGGGAUACGGCCCAGACUCCUACGGGAGGCAGCAGUGGGGAAUAUUGCACAAUGGGCGCAAGCCUGAUGCAGCGACGCCGCGUGAGGGAUGACGGCCUUCGGGUUGUAAACCUCUUUCAGCACCGACGAAGCGCAAGUGACGGUAGGUGCAGAAGAAGGACCGGCCAACUACGUGCCAGCCGCCGCCGUAACAC